rnacentral:rRNA from 1 species
GACGAACCGUGCGAACGUUAUUCGGAAUCACUGGGCGUUAAAGCGCGUGUAGGCGGGAGGGCACGUCCGUCGGCUGAAAUCCCCCGGCUCAACCGGGGAACGGGCGCGGAUGACGACCUUCCUGGAGGGGCGUAGGGGGACCUGGAACUUCCGGUGGAGCGGUGAAAUGCGUUGAGAUCGGAAGGAACGCCCGUGGCGAAAGCGAGGUCCUGGACGCCUACUGACGCUGAGACGCGAAAGCCAGGGGAGCGAACGGG